rnacentral:lncRNA from 13 species
GGUAAGGUUGUACCGGGCGGGUAAAGGUUGUACCGGGCGGGUAAGGUUGUACCGGGCGGGUAAGGUUGUAUUUAAAGAUUGACCACCUUGGUAAGAAUCAAUUGACUGUUUGGCUUUGUUGUGGUUCUUUUGUCGUUCCUAACCCUUUUGCCCUGUUACCAAGCAGAGCACCAAAGUCUGCAAGAGACACUCGUCGGUCAUCCCAUCCUCUCAUAUCCUAGAUGAGGUGAAGACAGGAAGGACUGGACCAGACAGGAGAGAGUUAACAGCCCUGGAGAGGCUCAACGGCGUCGGCUCUGCUGCUGCUGGUGGUCCCAAGGUGCAGAGGUCUACCCUUGUGUUUGGCCGUCCCAGCAUCAAUCUCUCCUCCUCUACCUCCUCUACGGCCCCUCGGGUCCAACUUCGCUCCCAGCGCUCGAGAAUACUGUUCCGACCAAUCAGCAUGCCCUUGGAGCGCCUGCCCCUCCCCACCCCCUCCCAGCUCGUUGAGAGGAACGACCAGAACACCAACGAUGCCGCCAUGUUGGAUCCCACCGCUGACUCCAUCACGGAGUCGGCCGAGCCGGAGAAGGAAACACCUCGGAUUGGUGAGGGGUCAAGGCAGCCCAGAGGACCUCAGCCCAACUGA